rnacentral:tRNA from 1 species
GGGACUGUAGUUCAGUGGGAGAAUACUUGACUGGCAGUCAAGGGGUCAGGGGUUCGAAUCCCCUCAGUUCCACCA